rnacentral:rRNA from 1 species
GAUGAACGCUAGCGGCAGGCCUAAUACAUGCAAGCCGAACGGCAAUCCCGACGGCAACGUCGGGACUAGAGUGGCGUAAGGGUGCGUAACACGUAUGGAAUCUACCCGCAACAGGAGGAUAGCUCUCCGAAAGGGGAAUUAAUCCUGCAUAGGAUUUAGGGGCGGCAUCGCCUUUAGAUUAAACUUUCAAGGUUGUGGAUGAUCAUGCGCAUGAUUAGUUAGUUGG